GUGCUACUCCCUCCGUCCGGAAAUACUUGUCCUAGAAAUAGUUGUAUCUAGACUUAAUUUAGUUAUAGAUACAUCCAUUUUAUCCAUUUCUAGGACAAGUAUUUCCGGACGGAGGGAGUAUGUA
rnacentral:pre_miRNA from 1 species